CUAAUACUCCCUCCGUCCGGAAAUACUUGUCGUCAAAAUGGAUGAAAAUGGAUGUAUCUAGAACUAAAAUAAAUCUAGAUACAUCCAUUUCAAGGACAAGUAUUUCCGGACGGAGGGAGUAAUAA
rnacentral:pre_miRNA from 1 species